GGCCGCUUCCUGGCCCGGCCAAUGGGGGAGCGCGUUGCUGCCCGGUGCCGGCGACGUCGCGCUCUGAGGGGAGCUCGGCGGCCUCGGCCCGGCAUGGGCAGCCCGCGCUCCUCUCCCGCGCCUCUCCGCUGAGCACCCGCGCCCGGCCAUGGCCGGCCCCUCCCGAGACCUGGGCACCGACGUCUUCGACGAGGCCGUGCGGAACACCUGCGACGUCGCCUCCCAUUGCAAGCGAUAUGCUGUAAGUGUUGGUUACUGGAAAGACCCUUACAUUGAAUAUUUUGUAAGCCAUCCAAAAGAAAGGAAGGCACCUGAAAUCAGCCGUGGGUAUUAUGCACGGGUCCAGGGAGUUGGUCGUUUACUUAAGGCUUUCUUAGAAAAGACAAAAUGCAAUUGCCAAAUUAUAAAUCUUGGUGCUGGCAUGGAUACUCUGUUUUGGAAAUUAAAGGAUGAGAAUCUUCUUCCUUUGAAAUACUUUGAAGUUGAUUUUCCAUCUAUAGUCUCAAGAAAAAUUCAUUACAUCAAAUCAAAACCUCCUCUCUCCAAACCGAUCAUGGAAAGCCAUUCAGGGGAGACUCUUCUCAUCGAUGCCCACUGUCUGGAUACCAGCCGAUAUGCCAUUGUUGGAGGUGAUCUUCGAGACUUGCCCAGACUAGAAGAAGAACUGAAGAAAUGCCACAUGGAUCCAGAUUUGCCAACGCUCCUGAUGACAGAAUGUGUGCUGAUCUACUUGACCAUUGAGCAUUCAGCUUGCCUCAUCAAGUGGGUGGCAACCACGUUUCAGUCUGCCAUGUUUAUCAACUAUGAGCAGGUGAAUAUGGCGGACCGCUUUGGACAGAUCAUGAUUGAGAACUUGCAGAGCAAGCAGUGCCAGCUGGUUGGUGCAGAUGCUUGCAGAUCUCUGGAGUCCCAGAAGGAACGAUUCCUGCAACAUGGCUGGGAAACAGUAAAUGGUCUUGAUAUGCUGAAGGUCUAUCAGAGUUUGCCAUCAGAUGAGAUCAAAAGGAAUGUGCAGAACUCACUGAUAACUUCAGGAAACUGCCCCCGGAACGACAAGGUCUGGAGGGGGAAUGGAACAUUCCAGGGUUCAACGGAACGUUCUGUUCCUGAAUUGGAUAGAGGCCCUUGAGUUCCUGGAUGAGAAGGAACCAUUUGAGCAGCUCAUGCAACAUUACAGCCUGUGCUGGGCUAUCAAGGAUUCCCAGAAUUUAGGCCUUGCAGACAUUACUCUGUGAUGCGUUUGCUCCAGUGGAGCUCCAGGUGAAUCUGCUGCCCCCUCCUGGUGGGCCUCUGCAUGCCUCCGCUGCCCCCCUGUUCCCACAAAGGCGCCCGCAGGUGAACAUGCGCCUUGGAGCCUGGCAAGCCCUCUCCUCUCCCCCACUCGUGGCACGUGACAACCUUUUGAAUAAAUUACUCUUUUUGUGAGCAGCUGAAAAACAAGCAAGUCUCUCUCUCUCUCUUUUGUAGAGAUUUUUCUAAAAAAAAAUAAUACUAUGAAUGGAAAGAGAUUCAGAUUUCUUCUAGAUGUACAAGUGAUGCUUUUUCCCUCUCCUUGACUUGCUGGCUGCCUCAGAACUGGGCUGAGGAUUUCAACUGGGGCAGGAAAGCCCCCCCCCCCCGUUGUCUGUCAGCCAUCCUUAGAGGCCCCCCUCCUCCCUGGGGUCUUGCGUUUUUCUUCCUUUCUGAAAUAAUGUUCCCGAUGCAUUUCUUCUGCCUUGGGUUUCUUGGUAUUUUCCAUAGGACUCCGCUUUCUUCUUCUUUUUCCUCAAAAGAGAGCUGGCUUCAGUCUGGGAAGCUCUCACGCUCAGCGAGGGGGAAAUCCUGCUGGCUCUGAGCUGCAGCUUGUGGUGGCUGUAUUGAGACACACUCCCGACCCUGAGAGGGUUAAUAAAGGGUGAAGUUUUGUAAA